rnacentral:rRNA from 1 species
GACGAACGCUGGCGGCGUGCCUAAUACAUGCAAGUCGAACGCAGUGGGGACGGGUGAGUAACACGUGGGUAACCUCCCAUCAGAGGGGAUAACACUUGGAAACAGGUGCUAAACCGAUACUGAUGGAUGGACCCGCGGUGCAUUAGCUAGUGGGGGAGGUAACGGCUAACCAAGGCCACGAUGCAUAGCCUGCCUGGGAGGUUGAUCAGCCACACUUGGACGGAGACACGGCCCAGACUCCUGCGGGGGGCAGCUGUAGGGAUUCUUCGGCAAUGGACGAAAGUCUGACCGAGCAACGCCGCGUGAGUGAAGAAGGUUUUCGGAUCGUAAAACUCUGUUGUUAGAGAAGCGGUAUCUAACCAUAAAGCCACGGCUAACUACGUGCCAGCAGCCGCUGUUAUAC